AUUGAACGCUGGCGGCAGGCCUAACACAUGUAAGUCGAGCGGAGCGGCGGACGGGUGAGUAAUGCCUAGGAAUCUGCCUGGUAGUGGGGGAUAACGUCCGGAAACGGGCGCUAAUACCGCAUACUAUCAGAUGAGCCUAGGUCGGAUUAGCUAGUUGGUGGGGUAAAGGCCUACCAAGGCGACGAUCCGUAACUGGUCUGAGAGGAUGAUCAGUCAAACUGGAUCUGAGAAACGUGCCAGACUCCUAGGGGGGGAAGCAGUGGGGAAUAGUGGACAAUGGGGGAAAGCCUGACCCAGCCAUGCCGGGUGUGGGAAGAAGGUCUUCGGAUUUAAAGCACUUUAAGUUGGGAGGCGUUACCAACAGAAUAAGCACCGGCUAACUUCGUGCCAGCAGCCGCGGUAAUUC
rnacentral:rRNA from 1 species